AACUAGGAAAGUUUAAGUGACUUACCCAUGAUCAAAAAACUCCUAAUUGACAGAGAUUAAAUUUAAAAUUCAGAUCUUUCUUGCUCUAAGUUGCAACUUAUAUGCCAACAUCCAUUACAGAGGAUAGAAAGACAAGGAAAUCCUAAGACCUUAAGAAGACCUUCCAAGUUAAACCAACAUAACAUAUACUUUAAUACUCAGAGACAUCAAAGCAAAGGUCCAUUUGUUAUGCUUUCAAAUGCCCAAAGAUAAAGAUCUGUAACCAGUCUAAAUGUUUAAAAUGAGGUAAUAAGGAGGUACUGGAGU
rnacentral:lncRNA from 1 species